CGGUCUUGCUGUCACUUAUAGAUGGAUCCGCGCUGCAUUAGCUAGUUGGUAAGGUAACGGCUUACCAAGGCAACGAUGCAUAGCCGACCUGAGAGGGUGAUCGGCCACACUGGAACUGAGACACGGUCCAGACUCCUACGGGAGGCAGCAGUAGGGAAUCUUCCGCAAUGGGCGAAAGCCUGACGGAGCAACGCCGCGUGAGUGAUGAAGGUCUUCGGAUCGUAAAACUCUGUUAUUAGGGAAGAACAUAUGUGUAAGUAACUGUGCACAUCUUGACGGUACCUAAUCAGAAAGCCACGGCUAACUACGUGCCAGCAGCCGCGGUAAUACGUAGGUGGCAAGCGUUAUCCGGAAUUAUUGGGCGUAAAGCGCGCGUAGGCGGUUUUUUAAGUCUGAUGUGAAAGCCCACGGCUCAACCGUGGAGGGUCAUUGGAAACUGGAAAACUUGAGUGCAGAAGAGGAAAGUGGAAUUCCAUGUGUAGCGG
rnacentral:rRNA from 1 species